GGGUGCGAUCAUACCAGCACUAAUGCACCGGAUCCCAUCAGAACUCCGAAGUUAAGCGUGCUUGGGCGAGAGUAGUAUUAGGAUGGGUGACCUCUUGGGAAGUCCUCGUGUUGCACCCCCCU
rnacentral:rRNA from 1 species